GACAGCCUCUUAGCAGCUACCACGUGACCUUGCGCACAUUCCCUCAGGAUUCCAAGCUUCAUUUUGCACAUUUUAUUACAGUAUGGAUAACAACACCUACCUCUUGGGGUUGUUAUAAAAGACAAAGUUGGAAAAUUCAUGCAUUCGGCAACUGUUUUAUGGGUAUCAACUAUGCUCCAAGUACUCUCUCAAAUUCUGAACAGUGGUUUGCAAAGCAGACAUGACCCAUUUCCACAGGGUCUGGUACACAGUAUGCAUCCACUAAUUCUGAGACCAAAAAGGACUUUCUCAGGAGACAUAUUCCUCUCUUUCUGACUAACCCACAUCACAUUAUGGAUUACCUCUAGGAAGCAGAGGGAAAGAGAAGGGGCGAGGAGGAAUGAUAUAUGCCUGGGUAGAAGAAAGGAGUCCCCCAGAGCACAACCUUUAAGAAGAGCCAAAAUCACUAUCAAGGAAGAACUGAAGCCUCAGUCAUGUGAAGGCCCAGAAGAGAAGAAUGGUAUUUUGUGAAGAUAAUGUUUGCCGGGAUGGAAGAGAUGCCACUGAUUAUACUUAAUAGAUUUUGGAUCUGGUAUCCUUUCAGAGUGUUCUUCUUUGUUCUAAUAGUGUCUGCAGAAGAUACUGUGUUAUCUAUGUAGAUGAACUUAUCACCUUUAAGGAACAAAGUUUGUCUUUUCUCUUUCAAUCUUUUCCCUUUUAUUUUUUUCAUCUCUUACUUAUGUAUCUAGGAAUUUAUACUCUGUUAAAUACCAUGGUGAUAAUAGGCAAUUCUAUCUUGUUCUUGAUCUAAUCUUAAAAGCAACAUAUCAUGUUUCUCCAUCAUGUAAGAUGUUUGUAUAGAGACUUCGUGAAGUGAAGGAAAUUACUUUCUGGUUACAGUUUUCUAAGUGUUUUUUAAUCACAAAUAAGUAUCCAGCUUUAUUAAAUGCUACGUUUUGUUUUUCACCUCUUAAGAAAUUACACUUUUUUUCUUUAGUCCAUUAAUGUAGUAUAUUGAUACUACAUUACAGUAUCCAUAUACCAUAUGAUGAGUAUAAUGUGUAUAGCAUAUGAGUAUGAUGAGUAUAUUGUAAGAUUCUCUCAAGGGUAGAACCUCACAAUACCAUAUUCACAAUAUGAAAUGGGUAUGGAUCCAAUUUCUUUUUCUAUAUUGUAUGAGAUCAUUCUCCCAACCCAACCUACUCCUGAUUUAUAGUAUCACAUGUAUGACAUGUGUAUAUUGUGUCACAUGUAUGUGUGAAUAUACAUACUCACACAUGAGUAUGUGUGAAUAUACAUACUCACACAUGAGUAUGUGUGAAUAUACAUACUCACACAUGAGUAUGUGUGACUGUAUUGUGAGGUUCCCCUAAGGAUGAAGCAUUCUAAUAUUCCUAAAAUCAACCUGAAGUAUUUUUUAAUAUGAUGCUGAAUUCAGUUAGCUCAUAUUUCAUUUUAGACUCAGAUAGUUUACAAAAUAGUGCUUCCCAAUGUACCGAAGGCAAAAAGCAAAUACAAAAUUCAUGUAAGCAUGCAUGAUUUAGAGGCUGACCAAGUGGUAAUCAUGAGAGAAAAGUACUAGAACACAACCAAUUUCCUUUCUUCCAUGUUUUCUUUCUACCAUGUGAGCAAUUCUGCCACCUACCCUGCAUCCAGGGAAACUUCCUCUUAAAUAUUUAAGCAGCAACUGUUGAAAAUAAAAUAAAAUUAGCACCUGCUAAGGAAUAAACAAAUAGAUUCUAAGCAUUGUUUCACCACUCCAAAAGUUAAAAAAGAAAAUCUCAAACUAAAAGCACAUUUGAACUAAUGCUGUGAUGCCUACAGGCAGUCCUAUCAGAAACCUGGUGGUGAGACUGUUUCCACUCUUAAUGAUCUAUUGGCUCAAGAUUGUGGAGUGGGGUGGGGGAUGCAGUACAGAAAGGAAUUAAUCAUGCUGCUAUAAAGACACACGCACACGUAUGUUUACUGCGGCACUAUUCACAAUAGCAAAGACUUGGAACCAACCCAAUGUCCAACAAUGAUACACUGGAUUAAGAAAAUGUGGCACAUAUACACCGUGGAAUACUAUGCAGCCAUAAAAAAUGAUGAGUUCAUGUCCUUUGUACGGACAUGGAUGAAAUUGGAAAUCAUCAUUCUCAGUAAACUAUCGCAAGAACAAAAAACCAAACACCACAUAUUCUCACUCAUAGGUGGGAAUUGAA
rnacentral:lncRNA from 10 species